GAUGAACGCUGGCGGCGUGCUUAACACAUGCGAGUCGAACGAUGAAGCCCAGCUUGCUGGGUGGUUUAGUGGCGAACGGGUGAGUAACACGUGAGUAACCUGCCCUUAACUCUGGGAUAAGCCUGGUAAACUGGGUCUAAUACCGGAUAGGAGCGCCUACCGCAUGGUGGGUGUUGGAAAGAUUUAUCGGUUUUGGAUGGACUCGCGGCCUAUCCGCUUGUUGGUGAAGUAAUGGCUCACCAAGGCGAUGACGGGUAGCCGGCCUGAGAGGGUGACCGGCCACACUGGGACUGAGAGACGGCCCAGACUCCUACGGGAGGCAGCAGUGGGGAAUAUUGCACAAUGGGCGAAAGCCUGAUGCAGCGACGCCGCGUGAGGGAUGACGGCCUUCGGGUUGUAAACCUCUUUCAGUAGGGAAGAAGCGAAAGUGACGGUACCUGCAGAAGAAGCACCGGCUAACUACGUG
rnacentral:rRNA from 1 species